rnacentral:rRNA from 1 species
GAUGAACGCUGGCGGCGUGCCUAAUACAUGCAAGUCGAGCGAACGGACGAGAAGCUUGCUUCUCUGAUGUUAGCGGCGGACGGGUGAGUAACACGUGGAUAACCUACCUAUAAGACUGGGAUAACUUCGGGAAACCGGAGCUAAUACCGGCUAAUAUUUUGAACCGCAUGGUUCAAAAGUGAAAGACGGUCUUGCUGUCACUUAUAGAUGGAUCCGCGCUGCAUUAGCUAGUUGGUAAGGUAACGGCUUACCAAGGCAACGAUGCAUAGCCGACCUGAGAGGGUGAUCGGCCACACUGGAACUGAGACACGGUCCAGACUCCUACGGGAGGCAGCAGUAGGGAAUCUUCCGCAAUGGGCGAAAGCCUGACGGAGCAACACCGCGUGAGUGAUGAAGGUCUUCGGACCGUAAAACUCUGUUAUUAGGGAAGAACAUAUGUGGAAGUAACUGUGCACAUCUUGACGGUACCUAAUCAGAAAGCCACGGCUAACUACGUG